UACGUAGGGUGCAAGCGUUAUCCGGAUUUACUGGGUGUAAAGGGCGUGCAGCCGGGAGUGCAAGUCAGAUGUGAAGUGCAGGGGCUUAACCCCUGAACUGCAUUUGAAACUGUACUUCUUGAGUACCGGAGGGGCAAUCGGAAUUCCUAGUGUAGCGGUGAAAUGCGUAGAUAUUAGGAGGAACACCAGUGGCGAAGGCGGAUUGCUGGACGGCAACUGACGGUGAGGCGCGAAAGUGUGGGGAGCAAAC
rnacentral:rRNA from 1 species